UCCAGCUGCACAACGAGAUGAGGGUGGUCAUUGUCAUUUUCUGAGCUGUGAACGAGCAGGAAGCUGCACAACGAGAUGAGGCUGGUCAUUGUCAUUUUCUGAGCUGUGAACGGGCAGGAAGCUGCACAAGGAGAUGAGGCUGGUCAUUGUCAUUUUCUGAGCUGUGAACGGGCAGGAAGCUGCACAAGGAGAUGAGGCUGGUCAUUGUCAUUUUCUGAGAUGUGAACGGGCAGGAAGCAUCACAACGAGAUGAGGCUGGUCAUUGUCAUUUUCUGAGCUGUGAACGGGCAGGAAGCUUCACAACGAGAUGAGGCUGGUCAUUGUCAUUUUCUGAGCUGUGAACG